CCGGUUCCCGUUGCUGUUAAUGCCCUUCGUUGCCAUGGGUGUCUAGUCUCUGACUGAUUCUUGUUCCCUUUCAGCAGGAGGAUGUUAGCGCAACGAUCAUGGUGCACCUGUUCUACAUCCGGUGCUUGCACCAGGUGCCCAAAGCACUGCAGGGGCUGUGUGCAGUGGGACACCUUUGAAGUCCCCUCUGCCCCCUCGCAUGACCAGAAGCUCCCACUCCCUGCUGCAGGAAGGGAGUCCCCCAAUGAGGGGUCUUUAGAGCUCCAGCUGGGCAGUGCCUAGGAGAACCUGUAAAUCAUCCUGGUUCCCGCCUGCAUGCACCACCCUGCCCUGCCCUGCCCUCCGGUUCCUCGCUAUUGACUCUGGCUUGACCCUUGGCUCCGGUCUCUGGUUAUGACUUCAGCGUGACCCUUCUUGGCUCCAGAUGUUGGCUACCCACCCUGGUUCCGUAUUCUCCUUGCCCUUCUCUAGCCCUGCUCCAGGCCCCCCACCGACCCGCUCCAGCAUUGCCUUUUCCUCCUUAUCUUCCCCAAGCAGUCGGACUUUGACUACCCGGCUUUGACUCUCGUCCUGUAUCUGGACUCUGGCUUGACAUUGGCUUGGCUGAUCUUUGGUCUCUGACUACCCGGCUAUGACCUCUGGCCUGGACUUGGACACUGGCUCUGCUUCUGCUUUGUCGAUGGACUCUGAUCUCGGUUUUGACCCUGGUGUGUCCCUGGACCUUGAUUCUAGCACCAUUCUUAGCCUAGGCACAAUCCUGCACCUCCCUGCGACCUGCGCUCCAACCACUGGGCCUAAUUAUCAGACUCAGCACGUGACAUUAGGUGGUGCAACUUUUUGCAGAAAAGCAGGCCCUCCACAAGUAAGUGGCCCGUAUGCAAAAGGGACACACCACACCAGAUGUGAACAAUGACCUCACUACCUGAGCCUCGUCCAAUGCAGCCCCGACUGGAGUUGUGCAAUGGAAAUGACUGAAAAAAUGUUGGGGUUCCUUUAACCAGCCUCCGCCCCUGGACCUACUCCACCAUUCUUGACUCAGACACCCGGCAAUCCUGAUAAAUGCCCGGAUUACAUGGAUAUCUUUGAAAGAAAUGGGGGUUCGUUUCCGCUGCACUGGUACUAUGACUGCCCUAUUGACCUAUAGCCUUGGUUGAAAGUUGCCUUCCUCAGUAUUUACACAUUGCUGGAACCAGAAUUGGUGGCUCUCCCUGCAUACAGUUCUAAAAACUGAUCCUAAGAGUUUAUGACCAAAUAUGCGUUUCCCACGGGUGCCCAGGCCCUUUUUGGGAAGAAGAAAUGUGGGAGUCUACUACACCUCUCUUUAGACAAUCAGCCCCUGAAAAAACUGAUCGUUUGGAACCAUUAUCCCCUGCUGUGAAUCCCACAAUUGUUGGCUCACAGGAAAUCUGCAAAGUUGUUCAUCAAACUUCAUCUGCGAGGAUUUCCAAUCUAACGCUCAUUUGGCCAGGGGACAAAUGGAAACCAGAUUUCAAAGCACACUAUGGACAUUUUAACUGUCUGAUCGGCCAUUGGAGCGAACUAACGGUCCCCUGGCCUUGCAACACAUCAUCAGUGAUGUAUUUGGGGACAUAGUGGAUCCACACAGUGUCAUCUAUUCAGGUGACAGACUUCUCUUUCUGGAGAACCCGGAGCAGCACCCGCACCACACCCGAACCUGGAGAGGUUUCGGCAGCAUGGUCUCAACACAGAAUUGGAAAAGCGUACCUCCAGCCAACUCUCCUCAGAGGUUUUGGGGUACAUCCUCUCCCCAGAAGGUGUUACGAUUGAUCCAAAUAAAGUGGAAGCCAUUCAUAGAUGGGACGAAGUUUGAAGUCUUCAAGAAGAGCAGCACUGCCUAGACUUCACCCGCUUUACUGCUGCUUCCGCCCAGGGUUCUCAGAGCCAGUAACCUCCACGAGAGCUCUCCUCCACAUAACGGCCACAUUCGUUUGGUCACCCAAGUUCCAACAAGCCCGCAAACAGCUCAGAAUUGCCUUCCCCACAGCACCUAUUCGGAGGCUCAGCAUUCAUCAUGGAAGUAGAAGCAUCUACUAUGACCACCAGGGCCCGCUUCAUUUGGUGGUGCCAGAUGUGGGCUGAAAUUCAGACUUAGCUUGACUGACGUGACUUCUGUGCUUUCACCAAGGCACCACGCACCAAACUUCUUGGCAUCUCAGGCCUCUGGAGACCCUGCCCGGGCCAUGGGCAACCAUUGCCAGGAAUUUCACUGAUUCAAAUGGCCACAGGAUGGAACUGACUCUCAUAGAUCACCUGACCACAAUAGCGCGCUUCAUCCCCUUGUGAACGUGUACUGUCGAUUGAGAGGCCAGAUCAGUUCCGAAUUUGCAAAGGCCAAUGACACCUUUCUUUUGCUAAAUGUAGCUUUCCCACUGAUUUCAUGCCUCUCUAUGAAUGGCCUCUCUGAACUUCCCAGCUAUUGACCUGGGUCACCGUCAAGAAGAACGAAGGGAGCCCCUUGAGGACACUAGGAAGGAGUUCAGAUAGUGUCCAGACUGCUGAUGACAAGAGGAAAGCCAUUUGCUGAAGGGAGGUUCUGGGAUCUGUCCAUGUCACCUACAGCAAUGCAGCCUGCAGCUGGCCCAGCUUGGGGAGCCAUAACCUCAUCCUGUGAAAUCGAGAAAUACUGGCUGUCAGUGAUGCGUAGAUGGAAAACCACACACCCCACCUGGAGGUAGAAGCCACCCAUUCCUAGGUUUGCGCGGGGAGUGCUGAUUCCUCCAGGAGCUG